AAUAUAGAAAAUCUAUUUCUUGAUGCUUUUAUAUUAGCCAUUUUAAAAUUUAUAUGAUGGUUAUAUAGUUUAGACAUUACCAUGAGUUUUACUAUGAAAUCUUUUGGUUAAAUAACUAAUUACAUAAGAAAUGGUAAUAAUUUCUUAUGGUCUACUAUAUGCCAGACUAUAUCUUGGAGAACUAUCAGCGAAGAUAUUUUAUUAUACGAUGAUGAGUGCUUAAGUUAUAGGUUUAACCACAACCAAUUUUUUUCUAACACCAAGGAAGUAAUCAAAUCGAAUAAUAAAUGUUUAGGGGGUGUUAUUCAAUCAUGUAUUUUAGUAUAGUUUAAAUCUAAACACAAUCUACUGUUAUUCGAAUGAUGCUUUUAAAUUCUAUUUUAAAAUCUAGUGAUAUUCAAUAAAUGAUUUGAAUUCAUCUUUUAAAAUUUAAUAUCAUUCAACUUUUAAAGAUUUUUAAAUUCUUUAUAUUUUCAAUCGAUUUUAAAUUAUCUCUGGUAGAGUCUCAUGAAUAAUGAGUGAACUCAAAAUCCAAGGCAUACUAUAGAGAUUUUAGACAACUUAAACUAUUUUAAAAUUUUAAAAUUUGAUGGAUUGCAAAACAUUAAUAACAUUUGUAAUCACUGAUUGAAUAACACCCACUUUAGUGUUAUAACUGCGUGCCUAAAGGUAACAAACUCGUCAUAAUGGAGUUUAGCGAGAGAUCGAACCUUAAUUUAUUAACGUUGGAUAGUCAUGAUGAUAUUCUAACAUCUAAAAAAUUCUAAAUGAAGGUUUAUCAAUUACGGUCUAUGAGAUAAAAAUAAUCCCAAUUUAUUAGAAGAUUGACUUAAGAAAUCAAAUUAGGUUUUAACAAUUUAUUAAUUUGUUCAAAUUUACAAAAAAACUUUGUCGCAGUUUGAAUACGAGUUUUAUCAGAAUUUGAGAUUACAUAUGAUUUUACUGUGGUUUGUGUUUUUUGUUUGUUUUUGUUUCUUAAGAUGGCAUAAUUAAAGGAUUUAUAUGAAAAAAAAACGUUAUGUCAAAACCUUCGUCUCACUCGAGUAGCCCUAGCAUUGAGGACUGAGGACACAAGUCACACAAUAAAAUUUUGAUAAGACACACUCAGAUUUGAUAGCAUAAAGGCUUGUGAGAGAGGGUGGGGGGGGGGGAGGACACUUUCUUAUAGUAAGAAUAAAACAGAGAUAUAUACGAACAUCUCCAGAAAUAUUUUAGAACUAAUGAAUUGAAAAGAACAAAUAACACAGAAAAGAGCUUUUAUUGCACAUGUAUUUUUCAAUUUUCAUUAAAUAAAAUAUUAACGUUUUGAUUGUAAAGAAUUUAAGAAGAGUUUUCAGCAGUCGGAUAUUCUAAUAUUUUUUUGUUUAAUUUUUUUUUUGAUAUUGAGUUGUGAGAUUUAUAUUGAUAUUUUUAAGGUUUGUAAUUAUUCAUUUCGAAUGAUUAAUAUAAAGAAUUUUCUGACAAAAAUGUAUUCUUCUCAUUUUAUCCUAUUUUAGUUUACCUUUUACUACUUCAUCCAAAUACAAAUAUUUAUUUAUAGUUUAUAAUAUUUAUGCAUUAAUUGAGACACUUAGAAGUGCAAUGAUAUACAUAACGUAAAUUAUAUAUAUAUAUAUAUACUGAAAUUUUCAUUGACCCUGCAAUUGUAACUCAUAGUUUCAUGGGACAACUCAUGCUUUUCUGUGUCACUAAUUAAUUUCUUAUAACAAAUAACCAGUCGCGAAUUAUAUUAUAUAUAAAUGGGUUAGGUAGCUUAAGUGACCACGCCAUAACAGACACAAUAAUUAUCAAAAGGUGUUUUUUAUUAAUUAGUAGUUAAUUAGCGGUAUAUAGUAGUUGAGGAUUCAACGUAUUAGUCGAAAAUUUGAUAUACGUUUUAUGUUGGAGUUUGUAUACUUUUUCUGUGAGAAAAAUAUGUUUGACUACAAAGUACAAACUUAUGUUUUGGUAUAUAUGAUCGUACAUGCCUAUUUACUAAAAUAAAAUAAAUAUUAUUGUUCAAUACAACGUAGACUUCAAAAUAAUUUCGUCCGUUAUGUAAUAUAUAUAUCCUCUAAUGCUAAUAAGAUCACAUCAAUGGUUUUUAGUCUAGAAGUUUCAUGCAAAUUCGAUAUCAUCUAGAGAGGCCAGCAGGGAUGAAGUAAUUAAGAAUUUAAGAUAACUCUAUGUACAUAUAAACAUACGUUAAAAGGAAGGAAAAGGAAUCCCAAGUUAGACUUCUAACUUUUCGAAUUAUGGCAAACUGGACUCAGAUUCAUGUUUUUAUUUUUCUUUAACUUUUCGAAUUAUGGCAAAUUGGACUCAGAUUCAUGUUUUUUUUUCUCACUUUACCAUUCAUGCGAAUGGACCGACGAUAAGCAAGCAAUGAGCUUUUCCUUCACAAUAUAUUUAAUUUUAAUAAGAAGCGCCAGAGGUUUUCGAUAAAAAAACAUCAUUAAAUUAGAUAAUAAUUUGAUGUUCUCCACAUCUACAACUCUUUAUAUCAGAGUUGUUUAAGUAAAAUGUCAGAGUUGUUUGUCCACCACUCACACCCAACACACGAUUAUAUAUUUUUUAAAUAUUAACAGGGCAAUAAAAUAUUCAGUAAAGUUAUUAUACGUUGGUUUUUAAAUAGGAGUGGUGCUAGACAAUGACUGGUUUUGUUAUGAAUAUUAUUAUCGUAGAGUUUCCUCAAAGGGAAAGCAUCUCUUAUUUCCGAAUGAGGACACUUUUCUCCCGAAUAAUUUAUUUUGCUUUGAUAUAUUUAGCGAUGCAGGCAAGUAAAUGUACACUAUAACUAUACUUUUAGUUCUAUCUUUAAUACAGAUCUCCGAGCUUUCUAGCUAGGUUUCUUUCCUGUAUUUUGGUGGUAUGAUUCCAGUUAUAAUAUAUUUCUUAAUGGUUUAGCUCAUCCUCUUGUCACCAUUGCGAUGAUAUUUGACUGUAUUGAUUAGGACAUUUCCAUUCCUACUUUAUUUUUUUUUA